rnacentral:ribozyme from 1 species
AAUGAAUGAAUGAACGACGGAAGAAAAAAGAAUUUUGAAGAACGAAAAGGAAGGCCUCGAUCUCGGGGAAGGGGGAGAAUGAAGGAUAAAUUAUGACCAUCGGUGCAUGGACAUUGAUCGCUCGGUGUUCCUUUCUUUGCUUCUCCCUUUUCCCUUCUCCUUCUCCGCCUUUCUAUCUCUUGGUAGCAUUUUUGAAAGGAGGGGUUAGUCAGAGACGGGAAAACAAAAGAAUUGAAGA